rnacentral:rRNA from 1 species
AUUGAACGCUAGCGGGAUGCUUUACACAUGCAAGUCGAACGGAGUGGCGGACGGGUGAGUAAUAUAUCGGAACGUUCCCAGUAGCGGGGGAUAACUACUCGAAAGAGUGGCUUAUACCGCAUACUAUUUGAGUUGCCGAUAUCGGAUUAGCUAGUUGGUGGGGUAAUGGCUCACCAUGGCAACGAUCCGUAGCUGGUUUGAGAGGACGACCAGCCACACUGGGACUGAGACACGGCCCAGACUCCUACGGGAGGCAGCAGUGGGGAAUUUUGGACAAUGGGGGAAACCCUGAUCCAGCCAUCCCGCGUGUAUGAUGAAGGCCUUCGGGUUGUAAAGUACUUUUGGCAGAGAAGCGGUAUCUGCAGAAUAAGCAACGGCUAACUACGUGCCAGCAGCCGCGGUAAUAC